UACGGGAGGCAGCAGUGAGGAAUAUUGGUCAAUGGGCGUGAGCCUGAACCAGCCAAGUAGCGUGCAGGAUGACGGCCCUAUGGGUUGUAAACUGCUUUUGCGGGGGAAUAAAGUGAGGUACGUGUACUUUUUUGUAUGUACCCUAUGAAUAAGGACCGGCUAAUUCCGUGCCAGCAGCCGCGGUAAU
rnacentral:rRNA from 1 species